rnacentral:rRNA from 1 species
CCUACGGGGGGCAGCAGUGGGGAAUAUUGCACAAUGGGGGGAACCCUGAUGCAGCAACGCCGCGUGAAGGAAGACGGUUUUCGGAUUGUAAACUUCUAUCAAUAGGGAAGAAAGAAAUGACGGUACCUAAACAAGAAGCCCCGGCUAACUACGUGCCAGCAGCCGCGGUAAUACGUAGGGGGCAAGCGUUAUCCGGAUUCACUGGGUGUAAAGGGAGCGUAGACGGCGAGACAAGUCUGGAGUGAAAGGCCGGGGUCCAACCCCGGGACUGCUCUGGAAACUGCCUGGCUGGAGUACAGGAGAGGUAAGUGGAAUUCCUAGUGUAGCGGUGAAAUGCGUAGAUAUUAGGAGGAACACCAGUGGCGAAGGCGGCUUACUGGACUGUAACUGACGUUGAGGCUCGAAAGCGUGGGGAGCAAACAGGAUUAGAUACCCUUGUAGUC